rnacentral:lncRNA from 1 species
GCGGAGAAUUCCAUAAUCACAGCCGGCGAGAGCGGAGACUGGGAGCGAAAAAUCCGGGAUCCGGCAACUUUGGGCAGCGCAUGCGCGCCCACGGCGCUCCAUCCCAAACACACACACAUUUUUCCCCCGGACUUGGAAAGUCACCCAAAGCCGCCCCAAGUGCAGGCACACAGACCUCACUGACGGAAGGCAAAGACCACCACCUCCAUCCCACCUGCCUUUCCAGCUGCCCCAGCCACCGAUCCCUCCUUCCUAAGGGGGUCCUGCAACUCCCCAGUGCUACACAUUGGAAUGGACUUCGGACCCUGGCUUCUUGGGGUGCAAAGGAUGAAGUGACCUCCCCGCUACGUUUGAGGCACCUGUAGGACCUGCCACAAGGUAAGGCUUAAAUCUCUUCUCUGACUGCUGUCUUGUCUGGUAUUGGUGACCCCUCACCUGACACACUGUCAC